rnacentral:rRNA from 1 species
GGACUACCGGGGUUUCUAAUCCUUUUUGCUCCCCACGCUUUCGUGCCUCAACGUCAGUGACAGAAUAGUUAACUGCCUUCGCCGUUAUUGAUGUUCUUCCAUAUAUCUACACAUUUUACCGCUCCACAUGGAGUUCCGUUAACCUCUCCUGUACUCAAGCAAAACAGUAUUAUCAGUUUCCACGAGGUUGAGCCUCGAUUUCCCGCCAAUAACUUAUCAUGCCGCCUACGCACCCUUUACGCCCAAUAAUUCCGGAUAACGUUCGCCACCUACGUCUUACCGCGGCUGCUGGCAC